rnacentral:rRNA from 1 species
AACGAACGCUGGCGGCAUGCCUAACACAUGCAAGUCGAACGAGACCUUCGGGUCUAGUGGCGCACGGGUGCGUAACGCGUGGGAACCUGCCUUUAGGUUCGGAAUAACUCAGAGAAAUUUGAGCUAAUACCGGAUGAUGUCUUCGGACCAAAGAUUUAUCGCCUUUAGAUGGGCCCGCGUUGGAUUAGCUAGUUGGUGGGGUAAAGGCCUACCAAGGCGACGAUCCAUAGCUGGUCUGAGAGGAUGAUCAGCCACACUGGGACUGAGACACGGCCCAGACUCCUACGGGAGGCAGCAGUGGGGAAUAUUGGACAAUGGGCGAAAGCCUGAUCCAGCAAUGCCGCGUGAGUGAUGAAGGCCUUAGGGUUGUAAAGCUCUUUUACCCGAGGUGAUAAUGACAGUAUCGGGAGAAUAAGCUCCGGCUAACUCCGUGCCAGCAGCCGCCGCGGUAA